AUUGAACGCUGGCGGCAGGCCUAACACAUGCAAGUCGAGCGGAGAGGCGAACGGGGGAGUAAUGACUAGGAAUCAGCAUGGUAGUGGGGGAUAACGUACGGAAACGGGAGCUAAUACCGCAUACUAGCAGAUGAGCCUAGGGCGGCUUAGCUAGUUGGUGGGGUAAAGGCCUACCAAGGCGACGAUCCGUAACUGGUCUGAGAGGGUGAUCAGUCACACUGUAACUGAGACACGGUCCAGACUCCUACGGGAGGCAGCAGUGGGGAAUCUUGGACAAUGGGCGAAAGCCUGAUCCAGCCAUGCCGCGUGUGUGAAGAAGGUCUUCGGAUUGUAAAGCACUGUUAGUUGGGAGGCGUUACCAACACAGUAAGCACCGGCUAACUUCGUGCCAGCAGCCGCGGUAAUUC
rnacentral:rRNA from 1 species